rnacentral:lncRNA from 1 species
UAAAAAAAGGGUUAAAUAUAAAAUUAGUACCCAAGCUUGUCCACUUUUCACAGAUUGAUACUUAUGGUUUUUUUGUCCCAGAUUGGUACCCGAACUUUUUUUUGUCAACUAUAUUGGUACCCGAGCCUAAUAUCGUUACUUUUUUGUUGAUGUGGUAGUACUAACCACUUAUAUGGUGCCAUGUGUCAUCCUCUUUGUACCUCCUUUUCUUUUUAUUUUCUUUUUCAUUUUCCCUCAUUUUCUUCCAUUUUUUCUUCUUUUUCUUUUUUUUUCCUACCCUAGCCGUCACACUAUCUUCUUUAUCUCCCAUUCCUCUUUUCUUCAUCACAAUUCCAUUCCUCUUUUCAUUUUUUUUAUUUUGUUUCUUCUCCUUUCUAUAUUAUUUCUCCGAUCGAUCCGACCAUCAAAACACUUCUCUCUUCCUCGUCUUCUCAAAUCUUGCCUUGUAUUUCCAAGAAAAUCUCUUUAAAGCCAAAAAAAUUA